CCUACGGUAGACAGCAGUGAGGAAUAUUGGUCAAUGGACGCAAGUCUGAACCAGCCAUGCCGCGUGCAGGAAGACGGCUCUAUGAGUUGUAAACUGCUUUUGUACGAGGGUAAACGCAGAUACGCGUAUCUGUCUGAAAGUAUCGUACGAAUAAGGAUCGGCUAACUCCGUGCCAGCAGCCGCGGUAAUACGGAGGAUUCAAGCGUUAUCCGGAUUUAUUGGGUUUAAAGGGUGCGUAGGCGGUCGGAUAAGUUAGAGGUGAAAUCCCGAGGCUCAACUUCGGAAUUGCCUCUGAUACUGUUCGGCUAGAGAGUAGUUGCGGUAGGCGGAAUGUAUGGUGUAGCGGUGAAAUGCUUAGAGAUCAUACAGAACACCGAUUGCGAAGGCAGCUUACCAAGCUACUUCUGACGUUGAGGCACGAAAGCGUGGGGAGCAAACAGGAUUAGAUACCCCAGUAGUC
rnacentral:rRNA from 1 species